rnacentral:rRNA from 1 species
UGACAGUACUCCUACGGGGAGGCAGCAGUGGGGGAAUAUUGCACAAUGGGCGCAAGCCUGAUGCAGCCAUGCCGCGUGUGUGAAGAAGGCCUUCGGGUUGUUAAAGCACUUUCAGUCGUGAGGAAGGUAGUGUAGUUAAUAGCUGCAUUAUUUGACGUUAGCGACAGAAGAAGCACCGGCUAACUCCGUGCCAGCAGCCGCGGUAAUACGGAGGGUGCGAGCGUUAAUCGGAAUUACUGGGCGUAAAGCGCAUGCAGGUGGUUUGUUAAGUCAGAUGUGAAAGACCCGGGGCUCAACCUCGGAAUAGCAUUUGAAACUGGCAGACUAGAGUACUGUAGAGGGGGGUAGGAAUUUCAGGUGUAGCGGUGAAAUGCGUAGAGAUCUGAAGGAAUACCGGUGGCGAAGGCGGCCCCCUGGACAGAUACUGACACUCAGAUGCGAAAGCGUGGGGAGCAAACAGGAUUAGAUACCCUGGUAG